AUCCUCCGGUGUGAACUUCUCCCAGGGCUGUUGAUGCUUCAUCUACUCUUCUGGCAGUGGGGGCCUGGACCUUAGUUACCCGGGGUGCGUGAGUCAUGUUGCACAGUUGAGCUGGCACAUAAAACUACGAGGUAGGAAACGAUUCAGGUAUAAGGUACUUUGGGGAUAGAAACAUUUUCUAUGUAAGAUACAAAUGGCUCUGUGAAGACUGAGGGAGGCUGGGGACACUAAACAGGUCCACUGUGAAAAAGGAUAGGUCAUGCACAUUGGAAAUGCCUCAAAGGACACUCCAGGAAAGAGGAGGGUAGAGCAAACACUGAAAGGUGACAAAUAGCUAUGCAAGAUAAACAGCAGGUGCUGUCGAGUUAGGCUGGUUUAUGGGAGGAGUCAAAACAUUAAGCAUUUGGGGCAGGUUGCAAAGGGUAUGGACGACCAGACAGAGGGUGUGAGUGUUUUCUCUCUGCUCUGUGGGGAGUGUAUAGGAUCUAGAUCAUAAUGUUCACUAGCAGUAUAAUGCAAGACAGACAUAUGAUUGUUUUUAAAUGGUUUGCUUCUAGUUUUUUUUUUUAAGGAGGCAAUGAAUCCAUAGUAUACUUACGUAGCCCAAUAUAUACUGUUUCAGAAUGUAGUAUGAAAAUUAUUGAGAUGUCUUCUAUUUUUUUGUUUUAGUACCUUACAUUUAAAACACAACUCCACUAAGGGUAACCUCAUCUUUUAAAAAAGAUUUAUUUAUUCAUUUUAUAUAUGUGAGUAUACUGUCGCUCUCUCUCUUCAGUCACACCAGAAGAGGGCAUUGGAUCCCACUAUAGACUGUUGUGAGCCACCUUGUGGUUGCUGGGAAUUGAACUCAGGACCUCUGGAAGAGCAGUUGGUGCUCUUAACUGCUGAGUCAUCUCUCCAGCCCCAGGUAACCUCAUUCUGAUGCUCAGGAUCCACAAGUUAGUCGGAAAAUGAUAAGCAUAUUGUGGAGUAAAACAGCACAAAAGGGGAAAGGCCCCUUGCGGGUGGGACCAUCCCUGGGCUGGGUGUCUUGGGUUCUAUAAGAGGGCAGGCUGAGCAAGCCAGGGGAAGCAAGCCAGUAAGGAACAGCCCUUCAUGGCCUCUUCAUCAGCUCCUGCUUCCUGACCUGCUUGAGUUCCAGUCCUGACUUCUUUCAGUGAUGAACAGCAAUGUGGAAAUGUGUUCUGCCCAGUUUAUAGAACAAGGAAUUGAAGCUUGGAGAAGAUUGAUGGACCACUCAAGUUCCCUGGAUGGUCCAGGAUGCAGACUGAGGAUGGCCUAAAACAUUAGUUUUGCUGGCUCCCUGUGCUUGGCUAACCUUAGAGCCUCUUACCUUGCCACAGUCUUUUCUAUGAAGGACAGAGAGCCAAGGAGUGGACCAACAUGCCUGAGUUUACACAGUGGACCUGAGGACCGUCACCUCCCAGUGCAAUGUUCCUGUGUACUGCCACUGAAGAGACAGGUGGGAGGGAGCUCAAGGUUGACUUGCCUAACAACCAUUGCUUGAAAGACAAAGCUCCCAAGGAGAGCACAAGAUACCUCACUCGAGACUCCUCUGCAUCACCAACCAGUGUGAACAAAGCCUGCAGCUGUCAGCAGAGUAUUCUUUGUCUCGGUGACACGCUGUGCCUACAGUUGGACUAGAAACUUUGGAUUAGGGUGUGAGUCGUGCCCCAUAGGACAGAGGUGGUGCAUGUAGCCUCAUUUUGGAGUUUAUUUAGAGAGGAGAAAGAAUGUACCAUAGUCCCCAAAGGCUCUAGGUUACAGUGAAUUCUCUUUAGUUCAGUUAUAGUUUAGUUUAGCUUGGUUUGGUUAGCUGUGGUUCCGUUCUGUUCCGUUCUGUUCAGUUCGGUUCAGUUCGGUUCAGUUGCAGAGUUGUUGCUCUUUCAUGCUUUGCAUCCCAACUCCCUGCUCUCUCUUGGCUUUGGUUCCCAUCAGGUCCAGAAUAAAUGGCAAGGAGAGGGUCAUAG
ensembl:antisense 4933431E20Rik RIKEN cDNA 4933431E20 gene